rnacentral:rRNA from 1 species
GCGAUGACGGUUAGCUGGUCUGAGAGGAUGGUCAGCCACACUGGGACUGAGAUACUGCCCAGACUCCUACGGGAGGCUGCAGUCGAGAAUCAUUCGCAAUGGGCGCAAGCCUGACGGUGCGACGUCGCGUGGAGGAUGAAGGUCUUCGGAUUGUAAACUCCUGUCAUGUGGGAGAAAUGGCCCGGGUCUGAACAGGACCUGGGAAUGAUAGUACCACAGGAGGAAGGGACGGCUAACUCUGUGCCAGCAGCCGCGGUAAUUCAGAGGUCCCGAGCGUUGUUCGGAUUUACUGGGCGUAAAGGGAGCGUAGGCGGUUCGGUAUGUCGAAUGUGAAAGCCCACAACUCAACUGUGGAAAUGCAUUCGAAACUGCCGGGCUAGAGUACUGGAGAGGAGAGCGGAAUUCUUGGUGUAGCGGUGAAAUGCGUAGAUAUCAAGAGGAACACCGGUGGCGAAGGCGGCUCUCUGGACAGAUACUGACGCUGAGGCUCUAAAGUUAGGGGAGCAAACAGGAUUAGAUACCCUGGUAGUCCUAACCUUAAACGGUGUACACUUGGUGUGCGAGGAAUUGUCCCUUUGCGCGCCGCAGCUAACGC